rfam:Enterococcus sp. 3H8_DIV0648 scaffold00001, whole genome shotgun sequence.
UUAGCUAUUUUAGAUAGGUUUGUAUUCAUCAUGAUGGGUACAAACAACUUGAGUGUUUUUUGUAUCUAUGAUGGCUAGAGCAUUUCGAUGUACCACCGGCCGCAUAGAGAAAUCUAAGUGGCUGAAGAAUCAUACUAUUUUUGUAUUCGUAUCACCCACUUAGAGUUUCGACAAUUCUA